ensembl:lncRNA
CUCAGAACUGGAUACAAAUAUUUCAGAUGUGGUCUCACCAGGGCAGAGGAGGGGGGAAGGAGAGCCUCUCUCAACCUACUAGCCAUGCCCCUUCUAGUACGCCCCAUGAUGCCAUUGGCCUUCUUGGCCACAAGGGCACAGCUCUGACCCAUGGUGACCGUGCUGUCCACCAGGAUCCCCAGUCCCUUUCCUCUCUGCUGCUCUCCAACAGGCUGAGAUGGGGCUGCCCAGCCCUCCUCCUCCUCCAGCUGCCUGCUGCUGCCUUUUUUCCACUCGCAGUCGGCACUCUGAGAUCAUCUUUAGCACUGCUGUUUGUGAGAUACUUGGCCAUCUCCCCCACCGCAGACAAUGGAAGAGGAAAAUGAAGCAAUCUGCAGCAGCCAGCCAAAUGGCUCCCUCCAGAAGUUGUCCGAAGCAGAGGAAGGGGGCCCACGGAGAGACCUGGGGAGUCCUGUCCCCAUCCAGAUCAAGGGGCCUGGCUAGAAGGCAGUUUCAUCUCCUGACAGAGCAAAAGCCAGAUGACCAGGCUUGCUGCAGUUGAUGGAGAGAGAGUUUAACACCAGGUUUCUGCUGUCUGUAACAUACGUACAUCUGGAUGUGGGCCUAUGCUCCACCAGCAGUGUGCUGGUAACCCUACCAGCUCUACCUACCCCAAGCUUUGCUCCCACUAGCCAACCCUAUCCCCUGCCACCAUAAACAGCAAAGCAAUUUAAAUCCAGGCCACAGGGUGAGCUGUCAGCUGCUGCAAACCUACAUUCAGCUGCAGCUGGGCUGGAAAUCUGUUCCUGCUGGUGUUCACUAUAGGGAACUAGGCCAAGGGAAUAGCUCUGGGGGGGUCAGUCUCCAAAUCCAGUGUUUAAAAGAAGCUUUUUUUACACGUGUUUUCACACAUGCCUAUUUGUCUGUGCCUGUAUGCUGUUGAAGCGCUCACCUGGCUAUAUUUCCAUAUGCAGAUAAUUGGUAUACAUGUUUUCUGUGCUUGUGUGUGCACAGAUGCACACACACUGACUGGAGGAGAG